rnacentral:rRNA from 1 species
GAUGAACGCUAGCGGGAGGCUUAAUACAUGCAAGUCGAACGGUAAGGUCCUCUUCGGAGGAUACACGAGUGGCGCACGGGUGAGUAACGCGUACAUAACAUACCUAUCAGUGGGGGAUACGCUUUGGAAACGAAGUAUAAUACCCCAUAGUUUUCAUGAAUCGCAUGGUUUAUGGAAUAAAGCUCCGGUGCUGAUAGAUUGGUGUGCGUACUAUUAGGUAGUUGGUGAGGUAGAAGCUCACCAAGCCGACGAUAGUUAGGGGGCGUGAGAGCGUGAACCCCCACACGGGUACUGAGACACGGACCCGACUCCUACGGGAGGCAGCAGUAAGGAAUAUUGGACAAUGGAGGCAACUCUGAUCCAGCCAUCCCGCGUGCAGGAUGACAGCCCUAUGGGUCGUAAACUGCUUUUAUAUGGGACGAACCGCCUGGUUUUAAUCGGGUUUGACGGUACCAUAAGAAUAAGCACCGGCUAACUCCG